rnacentral:rRNA from 1 species
UACCCGCAGCACAAGUGGUGGUCAUUAUUAUUGGGCCUAAAGCAUCCGUAGCCGGUUCUACAAGUCUUCCGUUAAAUCCACCUGCUUAACAGAUGGGCUGCGGAAGAUACUAUAGAGCUAGGAGGCGGGAGAGGCAAGCGGUACUCGAUGGGUAGGGGUAAAAUCCGUUGAUCCAUAGAAGACCACCAGUGGCGAAGGCGGCUUGCCAGAACGCGCUCGACGGUGAGGGAUGAAAGCUGGGGGAGCAAACCGG